AUUUAAAUAGCUUAUAAGUAGAGCAUAACACUGAAGAUGUUAAGGAAAUUGAUUAAUUUUUAAAUA
rnacentral:tRNA from 1 species